rnacentral:tRNA from 1 species
GGGGAUUUAGCUCAGUGGCAUAAGCAACUGCCUUGCAAGCAGGAGAUUGUGAGUUCAAUCCCCA